UNAAUUUGACUCAACACGGGAAUCUCACCAGGCCCGGACACCGGAAGGAUUGACAGAUUAACAGCUCUUUCUUGAUUCGGUGGGUGGUGGUGCAUGGCCGUUCUUAGUUGGUGGAGCGAUUUGUCUGGUUAAUUCCGGUAACGAACGAGACUCUAGCCUGCUAAAUAGGCGUCGUCAUUUCGGUGCGCGCGACUCGUUCGCGCAACUCACUGGCGGCGUAAUUAAAUUCUUCUUAGAGGGACCGGCGGUUUCGAGCCGCACGAGAUUGAGCAAUAACAGGUCUGUGAUGCCCUUAGAUGUCCUGGGCCGCACGCGCGCUACACUGAAGGAAUCAGCAUGUUCUCCCUGGCCUAGAGGCCCGGGCAACCCGCUGAAACUCCUUCGUGCUGGGGAUUGGGGUUUGCAAUUAUCCCCCAUAAACGAGGAAUUCCUAGUAAGCGCGAGUCAUAAGUCGCGCUGAUUACGUCCCUGCCCUUUGUACACACCGCCCGUCGCUACUACCGAUUGAAUGAUUUAGUGAGGUCUUCGGACCG
rnacentral:rRNA from 1 species